UACUCAGUCCAUCUUCUGCUUAGUAUGUGUAUUCAGACAGCUGUAACAUCUUAUGAAGAUCUUGGACUCUUUGCAUUUGGAUUACCUGGAAAGUUGCUGGUGGCAGGCACCAUAAUAAUUCAGAAUAUUGGAGCUAUGUCAUCUUAUCUUUUAAUUAUUAAAACAGAGCUUCCUGCUGCUAUUGCAGAAUUUUUGACUGGAGACUAUAGUAGACAUAUAAAAUGAAGUUGUUGAGCCAGAUGAUCUCUAAGGUCUCUUCCAGCUCUAACAUUCCAUAACUGUGAUUCUGAGUUACUGCUGGGAGGAGGUAAAGUUGUCUUCAGUCCCACAGUUCAGUGCUUUGGUCAGUUAUAUGACUUUUAUGGACAUAAAUGAAUUGUGAUCUGAAAUAGUACAAAGUAACUGGUGUACAGAAUUUCAAAAAGUGUUCCUUUAUUCCUAUGCAAGAGAAAAGAGUCCUGGUCCUGGGGAUUAAAUGCUCCCUUUUGCACAA
rnacentral:sRNA from 1 species